GGUGAUGAAAACCAAGCUACCGGCAUGAGGUGAAUUUGAAAGCUUCCCAAAUUAGUAACUAUCAAUGUGUACCCAUAGAAAAGUUUUGCCCUUCUUUUAUCAAAAAUGAAAUAUGCUGAUAUUAAUGUAUAAAGGUAUUAUCUUAAAAACUUUAUACCUGUAUUCUAUAAUUCUAAAGUGUACAUGGUGUAAAUCAAAAUGAUCAAGGGAAAAUAAUGUAAAUUAUCUGUGCAUUGGGGUCUAUUAAGGGGUAUUUUUUGGGGGGCGAGGAGAGGUCAAGAAAGAAGGGAGGGGUUUACAUACAUGGUAUAGAACCCUAUGGGCAGCUGUAUGGGAUUUUAUUUUCAAAAAUUUUCAAAUGAAUAUAUAACUUGUAAACUAGACACACGCAGUCUUCAGAAAUUAUGAUAGGACAAUAAAACAAAUCACAUGAAAUAUAGGGUGAGUCCAUGGGGGUAAUCCCCACCCCCUUUAAUUUGAGAAUAUGCUAUUAUUUUGUAUACAGUCCAGAUCCACACCCCUAAACCAUAUAUAUUCUGAAAUGGGACGAUAAAACAAAUCAAUUAAAAUUAAAGGGAAGCCCCUGGGGGUCAUCCCACCCCGUUCAAUUUAAGAAUGUGCAAUUAACAUGUUAACAGUCCAGAUCCCCACCCCUAUACCAUAUAUAUUCUUGGGUGGGACAAUAAAACUAAUCGAAUAAAAUUAAAUGGAAGUCCCUGGGGGUCACCCCAUCCCGUUCAAUUUGAGAAUGUGCUAUUAACUUGUGAACGAUCCAGAUCCCCACCCCUAAACCAUAUAUAUUCUUGUAGGGGACAAUGAAAUAAAUGAAAUGAAAUAAAAGGGAAAUCCUUAGGGGGUCACCCCACCCCCUCUUGUUUUAAAACUUGUAAACAGUCAAGAUCCCCACCCCUAAACAAUAUAUAUUCUUGUAUGGAACAAUUAAACACACUAAAUGAAAUAUAGGGAGAGUCCAUGGGGGUCACCCCCACCCCCACAUGUUUGAAAAACUUUUAAAUGGUUGAAAUCCCUAGUGGUUAGGUGAAAAAAAAUUCCAGAUCCCUGAUCCCCACCCCUAAACCAUAUAUAUUCUUUUAUGAGACAAUAAAACAAAUCCAAUGAAUAUGGGACCAUAGGAAUGGUGAGUUAUUGGAUCUUUGUUUAGGAGACUUGGUAACAGCAUCCUGUUACAAUUACUUCUUGUUUGAACAUAAUUUUGGUUUUUAUUAUGCCUGUCUCUCUUCUACAUUUUUGGAUAAAUAGACUCAAAAUCCAGCAAAUUGCAAGUUGAACCUUCUUCAGUAGGUCUAUCCCCAUCAGAGACCAAAUGAUGCACAAGUAAGGUAUAGGUAACUUGUCAAAGAGACAACAACCCAACCAAAGAGCAGACAACAGCCGAGGGUCACCUAUGGGUCUUCAAUGCAGUGAGAAAAUUUCGACACUGGUCUUCAGCUUAUAAAUAUGUAUCAGAAAUGAGAAUGAUAUACAGCUCUCAGUUACAUUAAUAAAAACCUCACAAUAAGUUCUGAAUAUCAGAAUAUACAGCAUUGCAAGAUUCUCUCAAAAUGUACACAUGGAGCUGAGAAACUGUAAAAUUAAUCAUACUAAUUUAACAUUAAAGUCCUCGGAAUCAAUCUUAAUAUGCAUACUCUUGUACAAAGGAAUAUAAGUAUGCAAUAGACAUAUAUCAAUAUGGUCUUCAAAAAUAAGAAUAUCGAUGCCAUUAAUUUAUGACAAGUUCUUAACCAAGUAAUGAUUUUGGUUUUUUAAAUAUUUCGGAGGUUAGUAUGAGCUCCUUUUUUGUCAUGUUUGUGAUGUUUUUGUUAUAAGUUGGAAAAAAUUGUUUGUACCAACAAAAAUAAAAACACAAAGUUAAUCUAGAAUUAUGUUUUAUCAUUUUUUAAUGUUUAGGUUGUCAGCAAGAUGAAAACAACAAAUAUGCAGUUCAAAAGUCGGAAUGUGGAUAAGCUGAGGUUCAAGGUCCUACUUAUGAAUUUGAAGUUUAUAUUAUGGACGGCAGUGAAAGAAAAAAAAAAAUUCUCAAUUUUCCUGCUUCUAUAGGAUAAAUGUAAAACGUCUUGUUUUCGGUAAGUUUUAAUUAUUUUCUGUUUUUAAGGGGGCUCGCGGGUCUAAAUCUUUUUUUUUUAUAUAAUAUAGGAUUUUGCUAUAUUUUUCUAUAAAAGAACUUUAUCUUAUACGUAACAGAAAAAUGAAAUAAAAAAAUGGGGUCACGGUUCAUAUACGCUCACAAUCUGUUUUGAAAGAAGCAUACAUUUUUUUAAUGUCCUUUUUUUCUGUUGGUAAUAGGAGAAAUAGCAGUAAUGUCGAAAUAAAAAAAAGAACUUUAUUACAGAAAUCGCUUAAAUUUUACAAUUAUUUAAUUUAUGUACAGCUUAUUCAAAAAACAACAAUAGAAAAUAUAGGUCACCGAUGAGUUAAAAAAGAUAUUUCAAUUUUAAUGCAAAAAAUGACAUGUUUGCACAAAGGGAGAUAAUUUGGAGCUUUUUCAUAUAUAUACAUUUUAAAAGGAAACCACUAUUAUGGCCCAUUGCUUUCUAUGUUAAAUUCCUCAAUUUCGAGUGGUCACAGCUCUUUUAUCUUAAGUUCAAAUAAAGUGACAAUCAUUGCAUGUCAAAGCAACACCUUCUGGUGUCCUGUACUGAAAAAAUCAACAUACCUUACAUUGCAUAUAAGAAAGAACUGGUUCCCGGAACUUCAGAUGUACCAAAACAGGUACUUCCGAUCUGACAAAAAGGCAAAAUGUACUCUCCCUUUUAAAUUUCAUGCCAUUUUUUUUAUUAUUCAAAUUUAUCAGUCAAAAAUUGUUCUACAAUGAUCACCAGUCUUGCAGCUUUCAUUUGAUACCAAAAUUAAUAAAAUACUCUAAAUAUUUUGAAAGUUAUGUCCAUGCGUGGGAACUAUUUUGUGUUAAAUAUGUACUACUUUCUGGUAUGUGCUUUCUGGCCGGGCCCAAAUUAGUGGUGUUACACCAAAAGUCACCUUGGGCCAACAGGAACUGAUUUUUUGGAAUGAUUUGUACCAUAUGAUAAAGUAACAACUACUACAGGUAAUAAAUAAAAUUUGUAAUGAAAAAUGAAUGUUUAAUUUUUUUCGAAAAUCUUAUACCAGCGAGCCUCCUUAAUAGUGUUUGUGCAUUUAUCUGUCCAGUCUCUCCUCUAAAUUGUAUUCUCUUUAAGUAUUGGUGAGUGUUCGCCAUGAAUUUCAGUGAGUAACUUGUGGAUUUACAUGUAUAUUUAUACUCAAAAUUAAGUACUAAUAUUAAUGGGAGUUUAGCAUGACAUCCUGUCAAAUGCUUGUUAAUCAGGUUUAUGUGCCAGAACAUAUGAGUAUUUGGACUGUACGCAUACAGUCUGCCCAAUUUUAAGAAGUUGGUCAAGUUUACUAUAAACAAUUUACAUUACAGAUCAACAUAACUGAAAUCUUCAAUAGAUUAAUACAAAAAGUUAAAUUGCAUUUGAAAUAAAAACACAUGUUUUGUCGAGCUGGUACUAGACAGUACAAGUAUACGCAAAUGGUCUGACUGUAUGCAUAUGGUCAGACUGUAAGAGUAUAUUUAUAUGUUCCAGACUGUAAACAUACGGUUCAAAUACUGAUAUGGUCUGGAAUAUUUAUACAUGUCUUAAAAUUAAUAUCAAACACAUUGGUGUUUGUGAACUUGGUAAUAAGUUAUUGGAUAGAUCUGUAAUGUUUUUGGACAUCAAAAUAAAAAAAUAUCUCAUUUUUAUUUUUAAUCAAGAAGAAGAUUGUUGAUGUAUGUGUAACUGUAUAUAAAAAUGAGACAGCAAGCCAACAACACAAAAAAUAAGGAAAUGUGGUAUAUUGCUAAUUUGACAACUCCAUCAGAGACCAGAGGAUGUAGGCGGUUAGCAACUGAUGACCAUGAUGACACUGGACAACCUUUAACAAUCAGUUAAAUCCAUACCGCAUAACUAUUUUUAUUGAAAAUCAUAUUAUUGCUACAUAUAUGCAAACAAUUUUGUAUAAUAAAUAACUUCAGAUUUUAUUGGUUCUUUUUCAGAAGGAUUGAAGUUCAUCACCUAGAAUAAAUGGAGAAAACAUAGAACAUUUUAGAAACAAGACCAGAAUAAAUUCAAAGACAAAAGUUGGAUCAGUUAUUAUUUUCAUCACUCAGUCAAUGAUUUGGACUUCUUUUAAAUACCAAAAGAUAUUGAAACCACAAUAAUGUCAAUGUUAUGUGCUGAAUGACCAAAAAGUGGACUAUACAAUCACACAAUGCUUGAUUGUAAGAAACUAUUAAUGUUUUAGUGGAGGGA
rnacentral:lncRNA from 1 species